rnacentral:rRNA from 1 species
UACGUAGGAUGCAAGCGUUGUCCGGAAUUAUUGGGCGUAAAGAGCGCGCAGGCGGUUUUUCAAGUCAGAUGUGAAAUAUCCGGGCUUAACCCGGAGGGGUCAUUUGAAACUGAGAAACUAGAGUACAGCAGAGGAUAGCGGAAUUCCCGGUGUAGUGGUGAAAUGCGUAGAUAUCGGGAGGAACACCAGUGGCGAAAGCGGCCACCUGGACUGUACCUGACGCUCAAACGCGAAAGCUAGGGGAGCGAACGGG